GUCACAGCCCUGGACUCAGAAAUCCUGUUCUUUUUUAUAGACCAGGUACAGCACAAGCAAUGACAGUGCAAGAUUCCCCAAAGUGCCCUACCAAAAUAUCUCAAUCCUGAGCUAAAGAGGCUAAUGCUAGGUUGAAAAGGUAGGUUAGUUUCCAUGCUCACUUCACUCUUUGGCUCUG
rnacentral:sRNA from 1 species